rnacentral:tRNA from 1 species
GCCUGAGUGGCUCAGUCAGUUAAGCGUCCGACUUCGGCUCGGGUCAUGAUCUCACGGUCCGUGGGUUCGAGCCCCACAUCCGGCU